rnacentral:tRNA from 1 species
CCGAUCAUAGCUCAGUUGGAAGAGCGAAGGACUGUAAUUUUCGAUUAUCCUUAGGUCCCUGGUUCGAUCCCGGGUGAUCGGA